CAUGACGUCUUGAAAGUCACAUUCAGUAGACAGAAGCCAUGAACCCUUCAGGUCCUGACAUGGAGAAUAACAGCCGAGGUGUUUUCACUCCCGUUACUGUUGUUCAUAUUGAUGAAAAUCCAACACUGGUGAAAGAUCAUGUUUUAUGGUCUCUGUUCAGUUUCUACUUCAUGAAUUACUUCUGCCUUGGACUGAUUGCUUUAUGGUAUUCAAUUAAAUCCAGAGACCAGAAAGUGGCAAGGAACAUACAGCUAGCAAGAAUGUAUGGAGAAAAAGCAAAAUGCUUUAAUAUCAUUGUCUCGGUUAUGGCAGGUGUUACCAUCUUCAUUACAUUUAUUGUAGUAAUUUGUGUAACACAGGCAGCAGCACAGGCAGCAUACAGUUAUACCAGAGUGCCAUCAUACAAAUGGAAUUAAAAUAGUCUCAGCAUUAGGGACAAGCAGAAGAUCAUACUGAGGAAAAUAAAUAAUCCAUGCCUGCCGUUUGCUACUCUGAAAGUGAAGAAGUCCUCUAUUUGAAUGCUUGAUGUCAAGAAACAAAUAAACAGCUAUUAUUGUAUACUUUGUUUUAGUAGCAAUAAAACCCAUGCUUUGCCAGAAUGUUAACAGAA